rnacentral:rRNA from 1 species
CAAUAGCGUAUAUUAAAGUUGUUGCAGUUAAAAAGCUCGUAGUUGGAUUUCGGAUGGGACUUGCCGGUCCGUCGUUUCGAUGUGCACUGGCCAGUCCUAUCUUGUUGUCGGGGACUAGCUCCUGGGCUUCACUGUCCGGGACUAGGAGCUGACGAGGUUACUUUGAGUAAAUUAGAGUGUUCAAAGCAAGCCUACGCUCUGAAUACAUUAGCAUGGAAUAACACGAUAGGACUCUGGCUUAUCUUGUUGGUCUGUGAGACCAGAGUAAUGAUUAAGAGGGACAGUCGGGGGCAUUCGUAUUUCAUUGUCAGAGGUGAAAUUCUUGGAUUUAUGAAAGACGAACUUCUGCGAAAGCAUUUGCCAAGGAUGUUCUCAUUA